rnacentral:rRNA from 1 species
UACGAAGGGGGCUAGCGUUGCUCGGAAUUACUGGGCGUAAAGCGCACGUAGGCGGCUUUUUAAGUCAGGGGUGAAAUCCUGGAGCUCAACUCCAGAACUGCCUUUGAUACUGGAGAGCUUGAGUCCGGGAGAGGUGAGUGGAACUCCGAGUGUAGAGGUGAAAUUCGUAGAUAUUCGGAAGAACACCAGUGGCGAAGGCGGCUCACUGGCCCGGUACUGACGCUGAUGUGCGAAAGCGUGGGGAGCAAACAGG